rnacentral:rRNA from 1 species
GCUGGGUUCAGAACGUCGUGAGACAGUUCGGUCCCUAUCCGUCGCAGGCGUAGGAAAUUUGAGAAGACCUGUCCUUAGUACGAGAGGACCGGGAUGGACGUACCUCUGGUGUACCAGUUGUCCUGCCAAGGGCAUGGCUGGGUAGCUAUGUACGGAAUGGAUAAGCGCUGAAAGCAUCUAAGCGCGAAGCCAACUUCAAGAUAAGAUUGCCCACCGCAAGGGUAAGACCCCAGAAAGACUAUCUGGUUGAUAGGUCGAAGGUGUAAGUGCAGCAAUGUAUUUAGCUUAUCGAUACUAAAAGGUCGAGGACUUGACCAAU